rnacentral:tRNA from 1 species
GUCACGAUGGCCGAGUGGUUAAGGCGUUGGACUUGAAAUCCAAUGGGAUCUUCCCGCGCAGGUUUGAACCCUGCUCGUGACG